GUGGAGUAGGGAAACGUGUGCUUGCCAGACACCCUGACUUCCCAUUAUUGCACAGAUAGAUCUUCAGCAUCGACAGAAAGCCCGAAGCCCUCUCCACAUAGGAAAAUGGAUGAGAAGCAUUUUCUCUGCUCUCAGAGAGAAGCUGUGCUUUCCAAAGACUCCUAUUCAAGCUCUCACUCUGUCAUAUUAGAUGUGGAAUAUCAGCAAUAUGCUGAGUGAUACUUCCUGACAACCCUGGGCAGUGGCACUCACCCAGCUCCCUGUCAGCCGGAUGAUCACCAGGGCAAACUUACCAAGACUUUAUGGUGAACUGCAUAGCUAAAGUGUGAUGUUUGGUUGAAAAGUGCUUCCAACAUCAGUACAAGACCGACCAACCAAAAACAUUUCUUCUGCUAACCUGGGAAAUUGACUGAAGAUAAGAUAUGAAAUCUCACCAGAAUACUUCCUGGCCCACUGUUAUCAAAAGCUCAUCUAAUGAAGCAGAUGCUCAGGAGCCCAUGACCAUUGGCAAUUAGUCAACUAUCAAGUCAAAAUUGGAGGCACCAAAAAAGCAGAAUGAACAGAAGAAGAAUGCUCUGUGGGUCAUAACCCCUACCUCUGAAGAAUAUAGGAAAAGCAGUGGGCUUUUAGAUAUCAAGUCACUUGAAUUUAUGGCCAUCAAUAGAAAAGACUUUCCUCAGAGACAUCAUUUAUAGAGUUGAAAAAGGUGAAAACUGCAGAGCAUUUUGCUCUUCAUAUUCAAGCAUGAAAUGGAUAUUCAAGGACAGCUUGCCCACAAAUGCAGAACCUGGGAACCAGAAUAUGCUAUGAACUAUUGACUGAAUGCUACA